rnacentral:rRNA from 1 species
GCCAGCAGCCGCGGUAACACCGGCAGCUCUAGUGGUAGCUGUUUUAUUGGGCCUAAAGCGUUCGUAGCCGGUUUGAUAAGUCACUGGUGAAAUCCUGUAGCUUAACUGUGGGAAUUGCUGGUGAUACUGUUGAACUUGAGGUCGGGAGAGGUUAGCGGUACUCCCAGGGUAGAGGUGAAAUUCUGUAAUCCUGGGAGGACCACCUGUGGCGAAGGCGGCUAACUGGAACGAACCUGACGGUGAGGGACGAAAGCUAGGGGCGCGAACCGGAUUAGAUACCCGGGUAGUCCUAGCCGUAAACGAUGCGGACUUGGUGUUGGGAUGGCUUUGAGCCGCUCCGGUGCCGAAGGGAAGCUGUUAAGUCCGCCGCCUGGGAAGUACGGUCGCAAGACUGAAACUUAAGGAAUUGGCGGGGGAGCACCACAACGCGUGGAGCCUGCGGGUUUUUAAAUUGGAUUCAACGCCGGACAUCUCACCAGGAGCGACAGCUGUAUGAUUACCAGGCUGAUGACCUUGUUUGACUAGCUGAGAAGUGGUGCAUGG